CUGGCCCGGGUCUCCGCACGACCCCCUUCUUUCGCCGCCGCCGCCUCCUCUCCUCCGUCACACCCCCUGCUCCGAGCCCCUCCGCAAGACCUGGCCCGAGGUCUCCGCACAACCCUCCCCUGCUGUGAGCCGCCGCCGGCCUACUCCUCUUCGUCUCUCCUCGUCAGUUGUCGUGCAACGGCCGGCUGCAGGGUGGCCUCGCUGGAAGAGAGCACCGAUGGCCGUGGAUCUCGCCUGGGACAACGAGGACCAGGUCGCCCUGCUCCUACAGUCCUAGCACAACGUUGCACUGCCCCGCCCCACGACGCCGUCUGUGUCGAUCUGAAGCCCGCCGUGGACGGGGACGAGCAGAGAGUGGAGAUGGGCCACGGCGGCGACGAGGGGGAGGCGGCACGAUAGAGUCAUGGCGGCCAGCCCCCUGACGGAGGAGGUGGUAGAGUUGACGGAGACGCACACCAAGGAGGACCUCGCCGCCUACCUCGCAUCUAGGUGUAAGCCCAAGGAGAACCGGAGUGUUUCGGACUGGAUUCGGUCAUCACCAUCAGCCGCCGCAUCACGUCAAUGUCCAUCUUGGCGACACCAAGGGCUCGUGUCCGUCGCCACGGAAGCCGCUAAUCCAGCCACCGGCUCGCCGGUGCCACCCCACCCCAAGCUCUCUAUUGCAUGUCUGCUUGUCCUGGCACCAACUACUGAGUGCCGAUGGAGAUGGUGGAGGAGGACGUGGAGGAGUACAUCUAGCUGGAGGGAGGUGGUGCUGCUGCGCCUCAUCCCGGUGGUGCCCCAUGCCGCGCUGGAGCUCGAGCGCGAGACCAGGGAGCGGUGCCGCGGCAGGGACCUCCUCAUCACCGUCGACUUCAGCCCAAACUGCAGGAACUCCUUCCGCUAGGCGCUAGCGCACCUCUCGCGUCUCGCCGACACCCCCCACCUCGUCUACGCCAUUUCCAAUUGUGCCUUGAGAUUUUGCCUCUUCAUUUGCAUCUUGAUCAAGGAUAGCUUAAGAUCUUCAAUUGCACGCAGUGUUUCUUUCAGAAUGACUCUUCUAACACAACCUAUGGAAGCAAUACAGUUCUAGAUGAGGCAUUACUUCCGUUCUUUCAGAUACAACGAAUGGAUCGACGAGUGCGAGCACGUCAACACUGUCAACAUGACGAUGGUGGAUCGACUUGCAAAUGAAAUGGUUACUAUUAUGAUUGUAAUGCGUUGGUGUUAUGGAUGACACCUUCAGCCACUGUCGGAUCUGCCAUGGCCAGGUAUGCCCAUCUCCCUCGCCCUCCUCUGGAUCCCCUGCCCCACUUUGUAUUAUUGUUCUUCUCUUAUACUGUCAAAUUUCCAUGGAUGGGAUCUGAUGAAUGAGUAUCCCGGGUCUGCGGCAACUCGCAUGGCCUGAUCCGGAAGUACGGGUGUGCUGCAGGGAUUGCUUCCGCAGCAACGCCAAGGACAUUGGCUUCAUCAAGGUUUGGGUAAAUUAUUCUUCACAUGCACAACCUGCCAUAAAUGAAUUGACGGUGCGCUCCUCUUGCUCGUUGCUAGGAAAGUGGCUUGGCCACCGCCAAAUUCGUACCCUGAGUUUUUAGGUUACCAGUUGACUGAUCUUAAUCGCGUUAACAACUAUGGAAGCUUGAUUAGUGCGCUCAAUAACGCCUCAAGAGGCGCCACCAGGGGGCGCCCCAACAACUAGUAGAUAGAGAAUGUGGCCGCGGAAAGGUGAUCAACCUCUUCUUUUUAUCACUGACAGUGGGCCACCACCACCAUAUCCGUCCGCCGAGUCAGUGACCACUCCACACGUUUUCUUUUCUUUUCUUUUCUUUUUUUGUCCCAGGAGAAAGGAAAGGAGGCUGGCAAACGAAAGCAAAAUGGCGCGCACUCGCACGAUUAAUCCAUGUGUCGAAAGAAAAGGAGCCGCCGUGGCGUGCCUUUCCAAAACAGUUGAAACGGCGACGCGCUCCGCUCGGAAGCCACCCCACGUCUCCGGCCCGCCGCCGUCGCUCUCCCGCCAAAAUCGAUCCGCAAGCAAACCCAGACCCGACAACCUUGGCUGACCUCCUCUGCCACCACCCGCAUACCUACCGCUAUAUAAACCGCGGUCGCCGCGCCAAGAGACUGCAGCCAAUACGUGCAGUGCAGGUGCAGCAGAUUAACAAUUCAGCUCGUGCGUGCGUGCUCAUCCACGGCCAUG